rnacentral:tRNA from 2 species
GGGCCCAUAGCUCAGCAGGUUAGAGCGGCUGACUCAUAAUCAGUAGGUCCGGGGUUCGAAUCCCUGUGGGCCCA